GGCAACUGCGCUCAGGUCUCCUUCCGGUGUGUGGGUUGUUUGUUCUUUUGCUCUUCGCAGUAAAUUUUGCUGGUGCUCAGUCCUUGGGUCUGCACUACCUUUAUGAGCUGUAAGACUGACUGUGCAGGUCUGCGGCUUCAUUUCUGAAGUCAGCAAGACCAUGAACCCACCAGAAGGAAGAAACAAACUCUGGACACAUCUGAACAUCUGAAGGAAAAAAUUCCGGACACACCAUCUUUAAGAACUGUGACACUCACCGCAAGGGUCUGUGGCUUCAUUCUUGAAGCAAUGAGACGAAGAACCCACCAGAAGGAACCAAUUCCGGACACAUUUUGGCGACCACAAAGGGAAAAUCGACUAUCACCAAGCGCUUUUCAUUGUAAUGAUGUGAAUUAUUGCUGAACUGAUGACCUCAAACUCCUGCAAACAACUUGGAUAUCAGUGACCCCAUGAGAAUCUGUAAUAUCACUGGACAUGAAAAGAAGCCUGGUCCCUUCUACAACCAUGACAUAUAUUUGUAUUUAUGGUCCUCUGGAGAAUCUUGCCUUUUCCCACCAAUUUUUAUUUUACUCUAUCUAUAGUAUUGUAAUUUCAGAAGAAGAAAAUAAACUACAUUCCAUUCAUUGCCUGA
rnacentral:lncRNA from 1 species